UUCCUUAGGAACAGUAAAAUCUCUUAAGAACAGUAUCCCUUCCUCCCUUUACUGGAAACGAACCCUGAAAUGCCGAGUCUUUCUUCGUCUCCUCCAAGGGUCCAACUUGCUACUUUCUCUCUCCUCACUUCCAGGUUUCUUCGUGAUUUUCUCUCUCUCCUCCUACUCGAUGCUUUCUCCUUCCCUCAACUCUGCUCUCACUGCAUCUACAUCAUGAGCUUCUUUUCCUCUGGGGGUGCUGCGCUUUUUCCCCUUCCUCACACGCUCUCUUUCUCUCUGCUCUUCAUGAGAGACUUCAAUCCACUGCAGCUAGGGCAUACCUUGAGUAGCAACACAACGGAGACGAAAAAUUCACCAAGCAAACGAAGAAGUAUUCGUCUCAAUUGCUGUCGAAGGUGAGCCGAUCCACCUAUUUCUAGGGUUUAGGGUUCGUAAUUUGCCACCGUUCCCGCAAAAUAGAGGUGAGGAGAAUUAAGCUCCAGAAAAGUGAAAGGCUAGCGCAAGCAACACCAACAAAAGAGGUGGCUACAAGAUCAAUGAAAACAAGCUCCUUCCCAAGAGAAAAACAGGUGAGCUUAGAGAAGUGGCUGAGUUGCAAUGCAGUGCCGAUAGGGUUCAUGCUUCAGGUGGCGAAGCAUGUCAACAACUCCUCGUGAUCCCCUAACCUCUCUAUUGAUUUCCGUGGUUUCAUCUCCGUCAUUAUGUUCCGGGUGUACGGAUGUCAUUCAUUCCCUUGAGAGAGUAGGAGGUUCUUUUCUAAAGCAGUCAGUCUAUAAGGUUUGUGCUCUUCUUGGAGUCAACUCCCUCAAUUUUAUUUUAGUUUGGAUGUUUAAGCCUUUUGAACAAGGAUUAAGGAUUUAAGGGUGAAUAUAUUAGGCUUAGUUUCUCUGUCUAUGAUUAUUAAUCCAUGUCACUGAAAAUUGGUGCUUGCAUUCUCAAAAUAUUUUAAUUGGAAUUUGUUGUAGCUUUGCGAAAUAAUUCCCACGAAGACACAUGUCUUGUUAUUUCUUGUUAUUUGAUAAUUUUUUAUGCUUAAUUCCAAAUUUUCUUGUUUUGUUUAAUAUGUAUAAGUAAACCGGUGAAUAAAAUAAUCUCUUGGUACUCUCUUAAAUAGGUGAUUUAGAUGGAUCAUACUAGCAUACUAACUUCUUGGAACACCUAGACCGAAUUAAUUCGUUUAUGUCAUUUCUUUGGGUUACAAAACCAUUUAGUUUGUUCAUUUUUGGGUACUUGAUCAGUUGAUCACUACUCGGAUUUUUUUGGGUACUUGAUUGCGAUAAAGGUCGAUUGAGGAGUUUCUCCAUGUGAUUGACUGAAUGUUGCUUCCCAAAGAAGUAUUCUUAGGCUGGUUGAGAUUUUGUUACCUGUUUCUAAUAGGAGACGCCUGCAAAGGUAGGAGUUUGUUGUUGUCAUAUAGUUCAAUCCUCUUGAAAAUUUUGAGAAUGAAAAGAUAUAAAAAUUGAGUAAGGAAUCUCUGCAACUAAUGAUGAGAACCAUCCUUUAAGAGAAGAAGUGUAUGCUACUGAUGUUAGAACUUUGCCUCCUGGUAAUCUACACCUUGGUCAAUAUGUACAAGUGUCAUGAGGAAAUAGAUGUGUGUUGGGUGGGUGGUGGAUAGAAAUCUCCAAAGUUCUGAAUAAAAGAAGUACAUUGUGCAAUUUGCUUUUACAGUUGAUAAACGGGUUUGAGAUGUCACCAAGAUUGAUUCACGGAAAAUGGAUAACCUCCAAGGCUGAUGCAAAACUAUUCGAGCCCGUGCAUGAGCUUCUCCGCAGUCCGCACCAAACAUGCCCUGGUGGAGGUUGGACCAAUGGCAUAUUUCUCCAAGUGUAAUCUCUUGCAAUGGUGCUUCAGACAAGUGGUCAUGGAGGAUAACAUCCCCAUUUUCUUCCUCCUUUCAUCCACCGUGUUCAUUGCUAAGCUCCAUGCGUAAAGUGCUAUGUGUAUGGCUUUUGCUAGCAAACUUUUGUUAUGUUGUAUUGCUUCCAAGAAAUUGUUAUAAAUUGUUAUUGGUAAUAUUAACUCUUAUUAUUUUGAGUUUGCAAUUGGAUGUCCCUAGGAAAUACACGUACAACUUCUGAUUUGUUAUUGUACUUUCGAACUAUCAAUGCACCUAAAUUAUAAGUGUAUUUAUAGAUUUGUUGUAUACUUCCAUGCA